CACGUAGGGCGCAAGCGUUGUCCGGAAUUAUUGGGCGUAAAGAGCUCGUAGGCGGUCUGUUGCGUCCGCUGUGAAAACCCAGGGCUUAACCCUGGGCUGGCAGUGGAUACGGACAGACUAGAGGUAGGUAGGGGAGAAUAGAAUUCCCGGUGUAGCGGUGAAAUGCGCAGAUAUCGGGAGGAACACCGGUGGCGAAGGCGGUUCUCUGGGCCUUACCUGACGCUGAGGAGCGAAAGCGUGGGGAGCGAACAGG
rnacentral:rRNA from 1 species